rnacentral:rRNA from 1 species
UACAGAGGUGGCAAGCGUUGUUCGGAUUUAUUGGGCGUAAAGGGUCCGUAGGCGGUUUGGAAAGUCGGAUGUGAAAUCCUACAGCUCAACUGUGGAACUGCAUUCGAAACUUCCAGACUUGAGUGUGAGAGAGGUAAAGGGAAUUCCCGGUGUAAGGGUGAAAUCUGCAGAGAUCGGGAAGAACACCAGUCGCGUAGGCGCUUUACUGGCUCACAACUGACGCUGAGGGGCGAGAGCUAGGGGAGCAAACGGG